AACGAACGCUGGCGGCAGGCUUAACACAUGCAAGUCGAGCGCCCCGCAAGGGGAGCGGCAGACGGGUGAGUAACGCGUGGGAACGUACCCUUUGCUACGGAAUAGCUCCGGGAAACUGCAAUUAAUACCGUAUGUGCCCUACGGGGGAAAGAUUUAUCGGCAAAGGAUCGGCCCGCGUUGGAUUAGCUAGUUGGUGGGGUAAUGGCCUACCAAGGCGACGAUCCAUAGCUGGUCUGAGAGGAUGAUCAGCCACAUUGGGACUGAGACACGGCCCAAACUCCUACGGGAGGCAGCAGCGGGUAAUAUUGGACAAUGGGCGCAAGCCUGAUCCAGCCAUGCCGCGUGAGUGAUGAAGGCCUUAGGGUUGUAAAGCUCUUUCACCGGAGAAGAUAAUGACGGUAUCCGGAGAAGAAGCCCCGGCUAACUUCGUGCCAGCCGCCGCGGUAACAC
rnacentral:rRNA from 1 species